AGACACAACAGAGCCACGUAGAAAUGACCAUCUUUUCAUGUGGCAUUCAACACAGAAAUAACAGCAAACUUUUUUGUAUGCCGGCUUUUCCAACUGCGGUGACACAUCAUACAGAUCAGACCAAACGAAUGCUUUAAAUCGCCUUGAGUAAAGUGUGAGCAGCCGCUGAGCGCGCAGAUCCGGACCGCGACUCGCUUCGGGGACGUUGCUUGGGUCUCUCCCCGACCCGCCGUGCUCACACCCCCUUCCCACCAGACGAGCACUUCAACCCGAUGCCCCCGCGCCCUCGACUCACCUGCUUGAAGCAGAAAGGCAUGGUGAGCACGCUGACGCCCACGAUGCUGUUCACCACGUUCGUGACCAGCCCCCACUUGGAGGUGGUGGCGGCCGUCAUUUUGAGGGUCUAGGGGCCAGGACAGAGCGACCCUAGAUAACCCUAAACCUGGAGCAGGGGGGCCCUCGGACAGGCGUCGCGAGGUCAGCCUCCAGACCCUGCCAGGCUCCGCAGCAGCCUCACAGCCAUGGUUCCAGGUUCCCGCCUCCGCCUCCCGAGAGUGAAGCGGGAACCCGGAAGCGCCGCAGGCAACGAUAGCAACACCUCAGCUCCGCUUCGCUGCCUCCGGCACCUAAACUUCCGCCUUCGGAACCUACUCUACCAGGAAGUGACGGUAUCAAGGGCGGGAUGAGGCGGGACGCCAGCCAACUAGAAGUAGGUGUGUAUGCCCGAGGAGGCGUGGCUUGGGUGGGCCCCAAGGCGGAGCUAGGCGUAACUCUAACCAAUAAGAAGUAUGUGGGGGAGGGACGGCGGGAGGUGGGGCGAGGUCUGAAUCAGGGCGGGGCUACAAUCCUGGGUUCAGGAUUCCAGGCUUAGACUAGUGACUGCUGCCGCUGAAGAAGAGUGACUUGCAGGGUACAACCUUUAGCGGAAGAACAGGAGAGAAAGAGAAGGACUACCUUUCAGGUGAGGAGUGGGCUCUUGAGGGUUAAUUUUCAGGUCAUUGCGCACAGGAAGGAUUUUGGGUCACGAUUGGAGGACCUGUCUAGACUGCCAACUUAUUGGGACAAAAUUAGCACUUAACGUUUUACAGAUAAAAAUCAUCGGGACACCGGGAGGUUCAGAGACUCAGCAAAGUCACAACAGCCUGGAGGAGGGAGCAUGGAGAUGUGUCUGUUUGAUACACUAAGUGGGUGAAAAUAGUCUACUGCCCUAGUAUGAAAGAAAACCAGAGGAAAGGUAAAAAGGAGAGACUAGGGAAAUCUAGGAUUUCAAGAGAUGGUGGCUUCUGUACUGGAAGGACUAAUGAGAAUUCUUCCUGGAGUAAUGGACAUUAGGAGACUAGAAAAGAGAGAACGCUCCAACACCUAAGUGGAUUACUGGCACCUGGCAGUGUUCUUUAUGGUGGUGUCUGUGGUGAAUGAAGGCCUAGGGACCUGAGGUCCAAGAAAGACCCCACAAUGAUUCCUGGAGGCCAGAGCUGUGCAUGCAAGGAGGAACUUCAAGCUGCCUAAAGAGGCUCUCCUAGAAAACAAUUUGAGGUCCAUGCAAGAUCUCAGACAAGGGACAAAUUCUUCCAGCAUCAGGCAGAGCAGUGUCUAGAGAUGAGAGACAGAGACAGACAGAGACAGAGAGGAGAGACAGACAGAGACAG
ensembl:processed_transcript